rnacentral:rRNA from 1 species
UACGUAGGGUGCAAGCGUUGUCCGGAAUUUAUUGGGCGUAAAGAGCUCGUAGGCGGUCUGUCGCGUCUGGUGUGAAAACUCAAGGCUUAACCUUGGGCCUGCAUCGGGUACGGGCAGACUAGAGUGCGGUAGGGGAGACUGGAAUUCCUGGUGUAGCGGUGAAAUGCGCAGAUAUCAGGAGGAACACCGGUGGCGAAGGCGGGAUCCUGGGCCAGUACUGACGCUGACGGAGCGAAAGCGUGGGGAGCGAACGGGGAGUUAAGAAACCCCGAGGAUACGUCCGAGAACCAAACGAUCUCCUUCGC